rnacentral:rRNA from 1 species
GGGUCCUACUGUCUCCUCUCUCCAAUCAAUGAAACUGAUCUCUCCGUGAAGAAGCGGGGAUUUAACUAUAAGACGAGAAGACCCCAUGGAGCUUUAAACCCGACUACACCUCCACCUCUUAUACCCACAUAAUCAACGGAAUACUGUACAUCGGUUUUGGGUUGGGGUGACCACGGAGCACAAACUAACCUCCAUGAUGAAUAAGACUAACCCUUUAUCUAAGAGACACAUCUCUAAGAAUUAGCACACUAACAUAAAAUGAUCCGAUAUUCGAUCAACGAACCAAGUUACCCUGGGGAUAACAGCGCAAUCCACUUCAAGAGCCCCUAUCCACAAGUGGGUUUACGACCUCGAUGUUGGAUCAGGGUAUCCUAGUGGUGCAGCAGCUACUAAAGGUUCGUUUGUUCAACGAUUAAAACCCU